AUGUUGGUGUUGAAGAAACUUGGUGUUCAAACCGGUGGUCUUGGAAAUGGUGGAAACUUCAAGAUCACCCUACAAGUUUUCUUCAGUAGCUACCAGAGGAAUCUUCAAGAUCACCGUACAUUUGGUUUAAAUCAUGAGAUGCCAUUUUGGCAGAAAACUUUGUUACAGGGAAACCUCCCGGUAUUUCAGCUCCGUCAUUGGGAUGAUUUUUCCUUUGAUGCUUGA
rnacentral:lncRNA from 1 species